UACGUAGGUGACAAGCGUUGUCCGGAUUUACUGGGCGUAAAGAGCGCGCAGGCGGUCGAUCAAGUCGAGUGUGAAAGCCCCCGGCUCAACUGGGGAGGGUCAUUCGAUACUGAUCGACUCGAAGGCGGUAGAGGGUAGUGGAAUUCCCGGUGUAGCAGUGAAAUGCGUAGAGAUCGGGAGGAACAUCCGUGGCGAAGGCGACUACCUGGACCAGCACUGACACUGAGGCACGAAAGCGUGGGGAGCAAACAGG
rnacentral:rRNA from 1 species